UCUCACUGUAAUUUAAGUCGUGGGCAUGGUCCCAAACCAUGACUCCUCCAUAACUGGAAUAGUUCUGCACAAAGGGAAGAACCUCAUCAAUUAGCACUUGCGGUGGGAUGUAACCACCACUAGGUGAGACUGCAGGGUCUGCAGGUACUCCCAGGAAUAAUGUAUUAAUGCCUGGAUAGGAAGCCCAGCUGUCCCAACUGUCGAAGAGGGGACUGGUAUUGCCUGGUGUAUACUCACAAGGAGGAUUGUUAAAAAAUUCCACCCACACGUAAUCAAAAUGGCCAGUUUUGAUAGCAGCGUCCAGAAAAUAGUCAGGAAUGAAACAUUCUGGUGCUGCUGAUAAAUACACCAGCUUCCUCUCUGGUGUGUUAUAUUUUGAUAGCGCCUGAACAAGGUCAGCCAAGUAAUCCGCCUUUCCAGCUUGGAUAUGAAAAUCUACACCAUCUAAAACGGCAUUGCCUAAUGGACGAGAGUCUGAUUCAUUACCACCUAAGAAUUCGUUCCAGAUAUAGGAGGCGACUUGCUGAGCAUCAUCGGAAGAAGAAAGGUUAGCGGCUCCACCGAGAGAAAGAAACACUUUGAUGCCUAGGCCUUGGCAAGUUUCUAUUUCGGAACUGUUUAAGGAAUGCCCAGCUAUGUUCAAUUGCGGUGUUUGGCCACCGCCAUAAUUUAUCAGAAAGGCAAUAUUCACGUAGUCGUAGGUACCUUUACGACAUGUGUCUACCAGGCUUCCUUCUGUAGUGUUUUGGCCCCAGUAGGUGGCAAUGCCAGCAUUUACGGGCUGUAUCUGGGACUUGUUAACAUAAGGCCUGAUUGUCUCACUGUAAUUUAAGUCAUGGGCAUGGUCCCAAACCAUGACCCCUCCAUAAUUGGAGUAGUUCUGCACAAAGGGAAGAACCUCAUCAAUUAGCACUUGCGGUGGGAUGUAACCACCACUAGGUGAGACUGCAGGGUCUGCAGGUACUCCCAGGAAUAAUGUAUUAAUGCCUGGAUAGGAAGCCCAGCGGUCCCAACUGUCGAAGAGGGGACUGGUAUUGCCUGGUGUAUACUCACAAGGAGGAUUGUUAAAAAAUUCCACCCACAC
rnacentral:lncRNA from 1 species